AAACCUAGAACUGAAGCUAAAACAAACCCUUUGUUCCCUGAGUUGUUUUUGCCAAGGGAUUUUUAUCACAACAGGAAAACAAACCAGGACAACUUCUCUCCUUGGCAUACUCCUCUACAAGAAUUAUAGCCCAGUCAAGCCCCUGGAUAUAGAGAGGAGCCAACUGGGAAGGUGUGUCAGCCCCCUGCACUCCCUGGCUGGUAUCUGACAUGGGCCAGGAGCAGAUCAUUGGCCACAUCUCCAGAGACAGAGUAUAACCCUGGGGAUUCAUACCUAAGCAGCCAAGGCAAAAGGGAAUUCCCUUUCCUUAUCCCUCCUGCUCCAGAGGCUUGCAGAGUGAGGUCAACUCCUAGUUGUGUAACUGAAGGGCUCACUGCCACUAGAGCAGCUCAACUUGACUACAGCAGUGUGGGAAAUCUUCUCUCCCUCAGCUGAGAGUUUGUAGGGAGCAUGGAAUCAUAUUCAGGGGCUCAUGUGCUCAUGAGCAGGUCUCCAUCAUCCUGAAUCUCCCUCGUUAGCCUCUUAGUGGGUCCUCACACUGUUCUCCCAAGCCCUGGUUCCAUUCUCUCCACUCCAAAUGUUUUAUAAAGUGUAUCUUCCUUGGCUGUCUUUGCUGUGUCCCAGGCAAAUGCUGGCUUUACCUGUGCAGGGUAGGCCCCAUUUCCUUGGGAGGAGCUGUGUGUGUCAGGGGCUGAGUCCCGCCCCAGACCUAGCAGAUGACAUUUUCUGCUCCUAGACUAUAUACCUAGAAGGGUGACCCCCCCAAAACUUUAACUCAUCUCAGUGACAGGAUAUGGAGCAGCUCAUCUGUGGCACACAGCUUAGGGAACCAUGGCAGCCAGGGCAUAGGUCACACACUGCCAGAAGCUUCUGUGGAUAAUGUUGGUUCUGAUGUCUCCUAACUCACAAUCACUGGGUGCGAUGAUGCUCCCCUUUAAUGCCUACACAUGGCAGACAGAGGCAGAUGAAUCUCUGUUAGUCUGAGGCUAGCAUAGGCUACAUAGUGAGACACAGUCUCAAAACAAAUAAAUAAAAAUGAACCCAUAGUUGCAUGUCUUAUUCAUUGUUAGCCACGUGUUGCUUUUUUAAGUGUAGAGAACUGUCUUUUGGAGAAUCCGUUUUUACUGCUGUUCAAUGGAAGAUUGCUAAUAAAAAAACCAACUUGAGUUC